GUAGGUGGCAAGCGUUGUCCGGGAAUUAUUGGGGCGUAAAGCGCGCGCAGGUGGUUCUUUAAGGCCUGAUGUGAAAGCCCCCCGGGCUCAACCCGGGGGGAGGGUCAUUGGAAACUGGGGAACUUGAGUGCAGGAGAGGAAAGUGGAAUUCCACGUGUAGCGGUGAAAUGCGUAGAUAUGUGGAGGAACACCAGUGGCGAAGGCGACUUUCUGGCCUGUAACUGACACUGAGGCGCGAAAGCGUGGGGAGCAAACAGGAUUAGAUACCCUGGUAGUCCACGCCGUAAACGAUGAGUGCUAAGUGUUGGGGGGUUUCCGCCCCUCAGUGCUGCAGCUAACGCAUUAAGCACUCCGCCUGGGGAGUACGGUCGCAAAGACUGA
rnacentral:rRNA from 1 species